rnacentral:rRNA from 1 species
AUGUUACUGCUCAAGUUCGGGCAUUUGUCACUGCAAUUUUGGGUGGAUGUAUACACAUGUAUCGAGCAAAAUAGACUAAACUGGAUCCGACACAAUCAAGGAAAGCUACGAACUGAACUUUACAGUGGAUUGCAGGAUGCAAUUGAGCAAGGGGACACAAGAACAGAGCAAGUUGGAAAGAGGAUAAUUGUGCCUUCAUCGUUUACAGGUGGUAGAAGAAACAAGGCACAAUAUUUGCAAGAUGCCUUUGCAAUAUGUCGUUGGGCUGGAUACCCAGACCUAUUUAUAACAUUCACAUGCAAUGCAAAGUGGCCUGAGAUCCAAUACAUGCUAGAUGAAGCGGGAGGUGGCCAAAAGCCAGCCGAUCGGCCAGAUAUUGUGGACAGAGUAUUUAUGAUCAAACUAAAGGAGCUAAUGAGAGACAUAAAAGAAAAGAAAUACUUUGGAGAAACAGUUUCAUCUACACAAUAG